rnacentral:misc_RNA from 1 species
GAUGAAGAACGCAGCGAAAUGCGAUAAGUAGUGUGAAUUGCAGAAUUCAGUGAAUCAUCGAAUCUUUGAACGCACAUUGCGCCCCUUGGUAUCCCGAGGGGCAUGCCUGUUCGAGCGUCAUUUCACCACUCAAGCCUGGCUUGGUGUUGGGCGACGUCCCCUUUGGGGACGCGCCUCGAAACGCUCGGCGGCGUGGCACCGGCUUUAAGCGUAGCAGAAUCCUUCGCUUUGGAAGUCGGGGCCCCGUCUGCCGGAAGACCUACUCGCAAGGUUGACCUCGGAUCAGGCAGGGAUACCCGCUGAACUUAAGCAUAUCAAUAAGCGGAGGA